CCUUUUUUUUAAUCUUUGAAAUAAAAUGGAUUUGGAGAAAAAGAAAAAAAGGCUGGGGUAAAACCCUUUAGUGCACAUACCCGUCAGACGAGCUGAAGUCAACAUUGCAGAACACAGCCACCUCCAGAAAUCUCCACAAUCUUUCCUUGGGGAUCCACAGUUACAAGGUGGAGUUUGCUUCUGUAAUUAUUCUUGGUGGGGAAGCUGGGCAGAAGAGUAGGAGCCAAUCAGUGCUGAAGAGGCGGGCUGUAUGAACUGUCCAAUCAGGCGGGCCAAGGUAGGCGGUCUCUUCCUGUGUCUUGGCGUCUACUGUGUGUCGGGGGAAGAGCUUGAUGUUUGCUGGACCGCAUUUUGUGGCUUCUAUUCGCUGUGGACUGCUUAGAAAGAACUGGGAGACCUCCGAAAUACGCAAUGGUCAGCAGAGGUGCUGGCCCCUGCCAACCUGGGUAUGGGGGUGUUUUGAAAGAAAUGGAACCAACACAGCCAAAGCAACUUGAAGAGAAACAGUAGGGGACAGCAGAGAGGAGAAGUCAGCUUUGGUAAGUGGUAAAACAAUUGUCAGUACAUCAGUGCCUAGGAGUAUAAAUACUCGGGUAUGUCCUCCAGAGAUGACAGGAAAUAACAUGAUAAUGGGAAAUAAGUAGUACUAGGCAAGUGGGGUAAAUGUAAGUAAGGAGAGAAGGCAGCUCUUGGGGCUCAAUCCAUCAUAACUGUGGUGAGUGUGUCAGCCAUGCUCUGAAGGGUCUGCUGAGGAGGAGGGAAUCAGAGAUCACCUCAGCAGGAACCGUGUGACCCCGUAAAGCAUCAAACAGAGGAGCCAAUUGUUGAGUGGUCAAAGGAAAGUAGAGCCUUGCCCAAUUAAAGUAGAGACAGCAGAAGCGGGGCACACCUGGGAGGACUUGGAAGUCAGCCAUGUGGCAAUCUGUUUCUUUGCUUGCCAAAGGUGGCAUCAGCAUCCCAGCAGAGAUGCCAGGUGUGCAGGACAGAGAUGGGAGCUUGAGGCCCCGCAUGUAUCAGUUUGCUAUCUUUUCCCAAUCCUCCAUAAUAAGUGUACCUCCCUUAGGAUAGCAAGGACAAUAAUUGUCAAUUUCUUACAAAAGUUGUACUAAAUUACACUCCCC
rnacentral:lncRNA from 1 species